AUUGAACGCUGGCGGCAUGCCUUACACAUGCAAGUCGAACGGCAGCACGGGUGCUUGCACCUGAUGGCGAGUGGCGAACGGGUGAGUAAUACAUCGGAACGUACCUUAUCGUGGGGGAUAACGCAGCGAAAGCUGUGCUAAUACCGCAUACGCCCUGAGGGGGAAAGCGGGGGAUCGCAAGACCUCGCGCGAUUAGAGCGGCCGAUGCCUGAUUAGCUUGUUGGUGGGGUAAAAGCCCACCAAGGCGACGAUCAGUAGCUGGUCUGAGAGGACGAUCGGCCACACUGGGACUGAGACACGGCCGAGACUCCUACGGGAGGCAGCAGUGGGGAAGUUUGGACAAUGGGGGCAACCCUGAUCCAGCAAUGCCGCGUGAGUGAAGAAGGCCUUCGGGUUGUAAAGCUCUUUUGUCAGGGAAGAAACACCGGCUCUAACACAGUCUGGGAAUGACGGUACCUGAAGAAUAAGCACCGGCUAACUACGUGCCAGCAGCCGCUGUAA
rnacentral:rRNA from 1 species